rfam:Neurospora crassa OR74A unplaced genomic scaffold supercont12.9, whole genome shotgun sequence.
UGACCUCGGAUCAGGUAGGAAUACCCGCUGAACUUAAGCAUAUUAAUAAGCGGAGGAAAAGAAAUUAAUAGGGAUUGCUCUAGUAAUGGCGAGUGAAGUAGUAAUAAUUUAAAUUUAAAAUUUAGCUUUAGCCCGAAUUAUAAUUUGUAGAAGAAGCUUUUAGUAAAGUACCUUCUAAAUCCCUUAGAACGGAGUAUUAUAGAGAGUAAGAGUCUUAUAUAAUUAGAUAUUAAUUUAAUAUAAAGCUCCUUCGACGAAUUAAAUAGUUUAAGAAUACUAUUUAAAAUAGGAAGUAAAUUUCUUUUAAAGUUAAAUAUUAGUUAGAAAUUAAUAGUAUAUAAGUAGAAUAAUCGAAAGAUGAAAAGUACUUUAAAAAGAGGGUUAAAUAGUACGUAAAAUUAUUAAAAGGGAAGCGUUUGUAAUUAAAUUUGUACUAUUCCAAUUAUUUAGUAUUUUUACUAAUAUAUUUAGGAUAAUUUAAAUUAAUAUCGGUUUUAGCGGAGGGAUAAAGGUUCGAAGAAUAUAAUUCCUCCGGGAGUAUUAUAGCCCUAGGCGUAAUACCCUCGUUAGGAUUAAGGUUUAUAUAUUUAUAAGGAUACUAAUAUAAUAGUUAUUAAUAACCCGUCUUGAAAUACAGAUUAAGGAAUUAAAGUUUUACGCAAGUAUUUAGGUAUAAAAUCCGUAUAUAUAAUAAAAGUAAAUAUAAGUAAGAGCUUCGGCGUAUUAUCGAUUAAUUUUAAUAUAUUUAGAUAGAUUUAAAUAAGAGUAUUAAAUUUUAAACCCGAAAGAUAGUAAACUAUAUUUAAAUAGAGUGAAGCUAGAAGAAACUUUAAUAGAGGCUUAUAACAGUUUUAAUAUACAAAUCGAUUAUUAAAUUUAAAUAUAGGGGCAAAAGAUUAAUUAAAUUAUUUAAUAGCUAAUUACCGCCGAAGUUUCCCUUAAGAUAGUAGUAUUGUUCUUUAGUUUUAUAAAGUAAAGCGAAUAAUUAAGGAUUCGGGGGCGCUUUUUAGCCUUUAUCUAUUCUUAAAUUUUAAAUAUAUAAGAAGCCCUUAUUAUUUAAUUGAAUAUGGGUAUUCGAAUAUAUUAAUAUUAGUGGGCUAUUUUUAGUAAGUAGAAUUAGCGAUAUAGAAUAAACCGAAUAUAGGGUUAAGGUAUUAGAGUAGACGUUUAUUAAAUACUAUAAAAAGUAUUAAUAUAUUUUAAUAGUAGGACGGUAGCUAUAGAAAUUAGAAUCUACUAAGGAUUAUAUAAUAAUUUACUUAUUAAAUAUAUUAACUUUGAAAAUAGAUAGCGCUUAAGCGUCCUACUUAUACCCCGCCCUUAGGGUAGAAAUAAUGCCCUAAGGAAUAGGUAGUUAUAGAGGUUAGUAACGAAGCUUAGGGCGUGAACUUGGGUUGAAUAGCCUUUAGUAUAGAUUUUAAUAGUAGUAAUAAAUAUUUUAAUAAGAAUUUGAAGGACUAAAGUAAGGAAAAGUUCUAUAUAAAUAGUAGUUAAAUAUAAAUUAAUCGAUCCUAAACUAUAGGGAAAUUCUAUUUCAAAGGGGUAUUUAUACCCUAUAUAGCGAAAGGGAAGCCGGUUAAUAUUCCGGUACUUAGAUGUGGGUUUUGUACAGCAAUAUAAUUAAAUAUGGAAACGACGGCGGGGGCCCCGGGUAGAAUUCUCUUUUCUUCUUAAUAGUCUAUUAUUUUAAAAAUAAUUUAUUUGGAGAUAGGGUUUAAUAGCCGGAAGAGUCCAACACUUUUAUUAGGUCCGGUACGCUUUUAACAUCCCUUAAAAAUCCGCGGGAGGGAAUAAUUCUUAUACUAGGUUGUACUUAUAAUUAUAGUAAGUCUUUAAGGUAAAUAGCUUUUAGUUAAUAGAAUAAUAUAAAUAAGGGAAAUUAAUAAAAUAGAUUUGUAAUUUUAGGAAAAGGAUUAGCUCUAAGGGUUAAGUAUAUUAGGCUUUAAGUAAACGCCCUAAGAGUAAAUCGCUACUAAUUAGGCAAUUAACUGGCAGUUUUUAGUAUCUAGGUAUAGAAGCCCUUAAUAAACUUCGGUCGUCCAAUAUAUAUUUAAUAAUUAAUUUAAAAUUAGUAUAGAUAGGAGGAAUUUAAUUAUCUAAUUAAAAUAUAGUAUUAUAAUAGCUAGAAAGUGGUAUUAAUAUAAUAUAAUUUCUAUUUAGUAUUUUAAAUAUUAAAGUAAAGAAAUUCAAUUAAAUAUAAGUAAAUAGUAGGAGUAACUAUAAUUCUCUUAAAGUAGCUAAAUACUUUAUUAUUUAAUUAAUAAUGUAUAUAAAUAGAUUAAUAAGAUUCCUACUAUCCCUAUUUACUAUUUAGCGAAACUAUAGUUAAGGGAAUAGGCUUAGUAGAAUUAGCGGAGAAAGAAGACCCUAUUGAGCUUAACUUUAAUUUAAUAUUAUAAAAAGAUAUAGGAGGUAUAGAAUAGGUAGGAACUUCGGCGCCGGUAAAAUACUAUUACUCUUAUUAUUUUUUUACUUAUUUAAUUAAGUAGGGCUAGAUUUUCGUCCAACUUCUAAUUUUAAAGUCCUUCGCGGGCCGACCUAGAUUAAAGAUAUUAUUAAGUAGGGAAUUUAAUUAGGACGGUAUAUUUAUUAAACUAUAAUAUAGGUAUCCUAAAGGGGGUUUAUAGAGAAUAGAAAUUUCUAAUAGAAUAAAAGGGUAAAAGUCCCCUUAAUUUUAAUUUUUAGUAUAAAUAUAAACUAUAAAAGUGUAGCCUAUCGAUCCUUUAGUCCCUCGAAAUUUAAAGCUAAAGGUAUUAGAAAAGUUAUUAUAGGGAUAAUUAGUUUAUAGCGGUUAAAUAUUUAUAGCAAUAUCGUUUUUUAAUCCUUUAAUAUUAGUUCUUCCUAUUAUACUAAAAUAGAAUUCAAUAAACAUUAAAUUAUUUAUUUACUAAUAGGGAAUAUAAAUUAGGUUUAGAUUAUUAUAAAAUAGGUUAGUUUUACCCUAUUAAUAACUUUAUUAUAAUAGUAAUUAAAUUUAGUACGAAAGGAACUACUUAUUUAAAUAAUUGGUUUUUGCGGUUAUUCGACCGGGUAGUAUUAUAAUACUACUAUUUACUAAAUAAUAAUUAAACGCCUUUAAAUUAAAAUCUAUACUAGAACGUAAUAAUACUUCUAAUAUAUUAUAAAUGUAUAAGAAUAGGUUCCGGCUUUAUAUUUUAGUAGGCGAUUCCUCUAUUAGCUUUAAAAUAGCUAGUAGUAAUUCGUAUAUUAUAAUUUUAAUACGCAUUAAAUUAAAUCCUUUAUAAACGAUUUAAAUAUACAAAAGGGUCCUAUAAGUAGUAGAGUAGCCUUAUUAUUACAAUUUACUAAGAGUAAGCCCUCCUUCGCCUAAAUUUCU